GUCCCUGUAGCACAAUGGACAGGGCGUUGGAUUUCUAAUCCAAAGGGCGUGGGUUCCAAUCCCAUCUUGGACG